UGGCGUUGCGGUUCCUGUAAUUCUGAACAGACGAAUUGUCGUCUGUUUAUCGCUGUAGGAUGCUGUUAUCGAUUACUUUACGUUUACAGCUCAGAAGAUAACGAUCGUUGUUUCAUCCUUCGAAAAAAAUAAAAAAAUGUAGCCGUGAAGUAUCAAUGGAAGUAAGUCUAAGUCGAUUCUAACACAUCCAAUGAAAAUUUUAUUAUGUUUAAAGGAUUUGAGAUAUGUUUCAAUGCGAAAAUCUUCAGGAUAUUGAAAAUCUUGAUAAAGGUGAAAAUAUAUUCGUAAAGAAAGAAUCUUUUUGGGAUAAUAAUCUUAAUAAUUAUACUCGGGAGUUAAAUUUAGAAUUUGAUAUUGAUUAUAAUAACAGAAACGUUGAGGUUGAAAAUAAAUUGAAUAUAUCAACUUCCCAAUAUCUGAUGUAUUGAUACUAACUACGGUGAUUGUUUGGCUUAAUAAAUUGAAUUUUGUAGAAGUGAAAGAAGAAUUAUUGAGAUAAUUGUGAAAUUACUUGUGCAAAUAUACAAGAAGGGACCAAUAUUACUGAUGAUAAGACUAUACAAAAGGUAAGCAGAAACUUUGCUUAAAGUAACAUUUUCUAGCUGAAACCUAGUUAUUAAUUUAAUCUGAAUAUAUUGAACCUCAGAUUUAGUUUUUAUUUGUUAUAGUUUGUCUGUUUUAUUUGUGAUGGAUAAUAUUAGAU